rnacentral:rRNA from 1 species
GAACGAACGCUGGCGGCGUGGAUAAGACAUGCAAGUCGAGCGCUGAUUUCUCUGUAGCAAUAUAGGGGAGUCGGAGCGGCGCAAGGGUGCGUAACACGUGGGUCAUCUGCCCUGAAGUUCGGAAUAAUUCCGCGAAAGCGGGACUAAUGCCGGAUGUGGACGAGAGUCUAAAGCUGGAACCGCAAGGUCUGGCGCUUCGUGGAUGAGCCCGCGGCCUAUCAGCUAGUUGGCGGGUAACGCCACAAGCUAAGACGGUAGCUGGUCU